rnacentral:rRNA from 1 species
CGCUAUCACUCCUACGGGAGGCAGCAGUAGGGAAUCUUUACCACAAUGGGCGCAAGCCUGAUGGAGCAACACCGCGUGAGUGAAGAAGGGUUUCGGCUCGUAAAGCUCUGUUGUUAAAGAAGAACACGUAUGAGAGUAACUGUUCAUACGUUGACGGUAUUUAACCAGAAAGUCACGGCUAACUACGUGCCAGCAGCCGCGGUAAUACGUAGGUGGCAAGCGUUAUCCGGAUUUAUUGGGCGUAAAGAGAGUGCAGGCGGUUUUCUAAGUCUGAUGUGAAAGCCUUCGGCUUAACCGGAGAAGUGCAUCGGAAACUGGAUAACUUGAGUGCAGAAGAGGGUAGUGGAACUCCAUGUGUAGCGGUGGAAUGCGUAGAUAUAUGGAAGAACACCAGUGGCGAAGGCGGCUACCUGGUCUGCAACUGACGCUGAGACUCGAAAGCAUGGGUAGCGAACAGGAUUAGAUACCCUGGUAG